AGGACACGCUGGCGGCGUGCCUAACACAUGCAAGUCGAGCGGGGUUGAAGCGAGGGGUAACUCGAGUUUCUACCUAGCGGCGGACGGGUGAGUAACGCGUGGGCAACCUGCCUCAAGGACUGGGAUAACAGCUCGAAAGGGCUGCUAAUACCGGAUAAGCCUAUGGCCUCGCAUGGGGCCAUGAGCAAAGGGGAAACCCGCCUUGAGAUGGGCCCGCGUCCCAUCAGCUAGUUGGUGAGGUGAAGGCUCACCAAGGCGACGACGGGUAGCCGGCCUGAGAGGGUGACCGGCCACACUGGGACUGAGACACGGCCCAGACUCCUACGGGGGGCAGCAGUGGGGAAUCUUGCACAAUGGGCGAAAGCCUGAUGCAGCGACGCCGCGUGAGCGAAGAAGGCCUUCGGGUUGUAAAGCUCUGUCUGGAGGGACGAAGGAAGUGACGGUACCUCCGGAGGAAGCCACGGCUAACUACGUG
rnacentral:rRNA from 1 species